rnacentral:sRNA from 1 species
CGCCUCAAUAAGCCCCACCUAUUCAGGUGGGGAAAC